rnacentral:rRNA from 1 species
GCUUCUGGACAAUACUGACGCUGAGAUGCGAAGCGUGGGGAGCAAACAGGAUUAGAUACCUGGUAGUCACGCUGUAAACGAUGUCGAUUUGGAGUUUGGGGGCAUGACCCUUGGGCUCCGGAGCUAACGCGUUAAAUCGACCGCUGGGGAGUACGGCCGCAAGGUUAAAACUCAAAUGAAUUGACGGGGGCCCGCACAAGCGGUGGAGCAUGUGGUUUAAUUCGAUGCAACGCGAAGAACCUUACCUGGUCUUGACAUCCAUAGAAUCUUUCAGAGAUGAGAGAGUGCCUUCGGGAGCUAUGAGACAGGUGCUGCAUGGCUGUCGUCAGCUCGUGUUGUGAAAUGUUGGGUUAAGUCCCGCAACGAGCGCAACCCCUAUCCUUUGUUGCCAGCACGUAAUGGUGGGAACUCAAAGGAGACUGCCGUUGAUAAAGCGGAGGAAGGUGGGGACGACGUCAAGUCAUCAUGGCCCUUACGACCAGGGCUACACACGUGCUACAAUGGCGUAUACAAAGGGAUGCGAAGGUGCGAACUGGAGCGGACCUCACAAAGUACGUCUAAGUCCGGAUUAGAGUCUGCAACUCGACUCCAUGAAGUCGGAAUCGCUAGUAAUCGUGAAUCAGAAUGUCACGGUGAAUACGUUCCCGGGCCUUGUACACACCGCCCGUCACACCAUGGGAGUGGGUUGCACCAGAAGUAGAUAGCUUAACCUUCGGGAGGGCGUUUACCACGGUGUGGUUCAUGACUGGGGUGAAGUCGUAACAAGGUAACCA